GUGCUCACUUCAGCAGCAUAUAUACUAAAAAUUGGAAUGAUACAGAGCAAAUUAGCAUGGCCCCUGUGCAAGGAUGACAUGCAAAUUUGUGAAACAAUUACAUUUAAA
ensembl:snRNA U6 U6 spliceosomal RNA